GGAGGCAAGCCAGUAAAGAACAUCCUUCCAUGGCUUCUGCUUCAGCUCCUCCUUUUUGACCUGCUUGAGUUCCAGUCCUGACUUCCUUAGUGAUGAACUGCAGUAUGGAAGUGAUCUGCACAGCUCUAAUUCCCAGCCUGCUAGAUGAAGUCACAGGAAGAAAAAGGGACACCGUGAAAAGCGGUUUUGUUUUUUAUUUCUAAGUUCUUAGUUCUCAAAAAAGUUCCCUCCAAAACUUUCUCCAAAAAGUUAUCUAAGAAAGUUCUCUCUUGAGCAGCAUCAGUUGGAUCGGACCGGAGGGAUGGCAGAGUCUGAGGUGGAAGCAGAGGGAGGCCGCAGAGGCAGCAGCGGCAGCGGAAGAUGGCAAUGCGGGUUCUGCUGAGAUUGUCCGGUGCUGUGAUGGUAAAAGGUGGCCUGAUGAGGUCGAGGAUUUGGUCUUUUGGGUUCCAUUUUUGGAAAAGAUGGUGUAUUAAACCAGCCAAACAGUGUCUUUGAACUUAUAUUUUAUAUACUACAGUUAUUACUUGGCAUGACAGCCAGCGCAGAUGCAGCUCCUAUCCUCCAUUAUGUCUGUGGUGGGGUCUUUGUACCUGGCCUACAUUCUGUACUUUGUGCUGAAGGAGUUUUGCAUCAUCUGCGUCACCACAUAUAUGCUGAACUUCUUCCUCCUCAUCAUCAAUUACAAGCGACUAGUUUAUUGGAAUGAGGCCUGGAAGCGACAGCUGCAGCCUAAGGAAGACUGAUGGCCAUUGGAUCUCCACCCAACUGUCUCAAACACUUCUUUCAUUAAGUUUAUUUUGCAAUUUUUUAAAUUCACAACAGACACUUUCCCUGAGAAUCUUAAACUGAUUUUUGAAAAUAUUGUAAAUUAGAAGGGGCCCUAGCUAUUUCCUGUCUCGAUCUUCAUUUUAAAUCCAGAUGCAAAAAAAGGAUAUGCCAAGCCAAUCAAAGACAAGCUUUAACUUUACCUUGAAGAUGUUUCUGAGAUAAUAAAAUGUAGCCCUAGCCCCCAGUCCUCAACAGUAAAGUGAGCAGCCAUUGCUAGUAAUUCUUUAAUGUGUAUAAAUUCAAUUUCAGGUAUAACAAGUGUGAUCAUGAACAUGAAAAUAUUUUAGAAUAGAUACUGUAUUAAAUAUUGCCAUGUUUACAAUAUGUAAUAUGUUUUUAGCCAAUGGAUUUAAACCUGUAGAUUCAACUAGAGGCCAUUUGUGUGAUAUUUAUAAAUAAAGGUAGAAACAUUAUAUCCACCCCUGCAGAAUUUACUGUACAGUUUAGUUGAAGUGUAGAAAGGAAUUGUCAGCUCAUCGUGACUGAUAAAUAGUGAAGAUAGUAGUGGUACAGUAUUGACAGCAGAAACAGGGUGGUUGGUUCCCUUCCAUCUCCCACAGUGAGAGGAAGAAACUCAGUCUGAACAUUCAAGUUAAAUUUGACUAGUCAGAACUGGAUAGAUCGUAACUGUACAGGAUGUCAUGUGACUAGACCUUUUAAUUCCAAGGCUCUCGGGACGCUGAUGGUGGGAAGUGGAUGUAGUCUUUGGAGAAAAACUGAAACCACUAUGGCCUUUCCAGUCAAAGCCUCUUAAACAGUAGCGGAGCUCUCAAUAUACAUGUGUGAGCUCUCAAUAUACAUGUGUGAGCUCUCAAUAUACAUGUGUGAGCUCUCAAUAUACAUGUGUUCCCUUGAUUCCGGGGCCAGUCAGCUCAGCAGUAUUAUGACUGAGGUAAGCACAAGCCAAGUGCUUUGAGUUCGGUCCAUAGUGUUUCCCCUUCUUGUUUCUUCUUGCACUAAAGAUAGUCAGUAAGUAUUUCAGAAUCACAUACUGAAUUUGUAAAUCUUAGGACUGUCGGGAGAAACCAUUUCCUGACUCAGAAGAAACACAACACGUAGAAAGAUCUGGAAGAGAAACGUGGAAAUUUUAUCCCACUCCAGUAGCCACACAGAAGCAGUGAGAAGAAGCCCAGAGGUGAUCUGAAUAAACCCAAUGGCAUGGCAACUGUGUUUCUCUGGUUAGCAUCUUACAGGAGAUGUUAAAGAUGCCUUCUGUCUUAAAUCUCAAGCCAAAUCAUUCUGUGUGUUGAAUAGGGCAGAAGUAUCCCCCACUUCCUUCCUUAACCACAUAGCAGAGAACUUGCCUUCUACCAGAAAGAAGCGUGUAGCCAUUUUAUUCCUUGAGUUGAGAAGUGGCAGUGUUUGUUUGUUUGUUUGUUUGUUUUUAUGAUUUGGUUAAUAUGUUUUUAAAAAGGCAACUAGACAGCAAACUCUGAGACGGCAACCAUUGAGUGGUUUACAACCUUCAGUCGAAACUGAUGCACCAUAGGAUUUCUGUCCUGGGGCAGAUAUAAAAUAGGAAUUGUAAUGGUCCUUUAGGAGGUUCUAACCAGUUUCUUAAAAGACAGCUUAAUUCUGGUUUCAUCAAAGGUUGUGUUUCCCCGUAAAUGUGAACAUUUCUGUGACUAUCAUACUGGGUAUGCAUUGCUGUUGUCUUCUGAAGUCAUUAAAGAACGUC
rnacentral:lncRNA from 1 species